rnacentral:tRNA from 1 species
CCGCCCCUAGCUCAAUGGUUAGAGCAAUCGGCUUAUACCCGAUCGGUUCCUGGUUCGAGCCCAGGGGGGCGGA